UUUUAUGAAUUAGCAAGGAAGUAGUUUCUUGAGAUGGAAUCUACUUCUGGUGAAUAUGCUGUGAA
rnacentral:pre_miRNA from 1 species